GCAGUCGACGGUAACGGAAGCAGCUUGCUGCUUCGCUGACGAGUGGCGGACGGGUGAGUAAUGUCUGGGAAACUGCCUGAUGGAGGGGGAUAACUACUGGAAACGGUAGCUAAUACCGCAUAAUGUCGCAAGACCAAAGAGGGGGACCUUCGGGCCUCUUGCCAUCGGAUGCGCCCAGAUGGGAUUAGCUUGUUGGUGGGGUAACGGCUCACCAAGGCGACGAUCCCUAGCUGGUCUGAGAGGAUGACCAGCCACACUGGAACUGAGACACGGUCCAGACUCCUACGGGAGGCAGCAGUGGGGAAUAUUGCACAAUGGGCGCAAGCCUGAUGCAGCCAUGCCGCGUGUAUGAAGAAGGCCUUCGGGUUGUAAAGUACUUUCAGCGGGGAGGAAGGGAGUAAAGUUAAUACCUUUGCUCAUUGACGUUACCCGCAGAAGAAGCACCGGCUAACUCCGUGCCAGCAGCCGCGGUAAUACGGAGGGUGCAAGCGUUAAUCGGAAUUACUGGGCGUAAAGCGCACGCAGGCGGUUUGUUAAGUCAGAUGUGAAAUCCCCGGGCUCAACCUGGGAACUGCAUCUGAUACUGGCAAGCUUGAGUCUCGUAGAGGGGGGUAGAAUUCCAGGUGUAGCGGUGAAAUGCGUAGAGAUCUGGAGGAAUACCGGUGGCGAAGGCGGCCCCCUGGACGAAGACUGACCCUCAGGUGCG
rnacentral:rRNA from 1 species